AUUGAACGCUGGCGGCAUGCCUUACACAUGCAAGUCGAACGGCAGCAUAGGAGCUUGCUCCUGAUGGCGAGUGGCGAACGGGUGAGUAAUAUAUCGGAACGUGCCCUAGAGUGGGGGAUAACUAGUCGAAAGACUAGCUAAUACCGCAUACGAUCUACGGAUGAAAGUGGGGGAUCGCAAGACCUCAUGCUCCUGGAGCGGCCGAUAUCUGAUUAGGUAGUUGGUGGGGUAAAAGCUCACCAAGGCGACGAUCAGUAGCUGGUCGGGGAGGACGACCAGCCACACUGGGAAUGAGACACGGCCCAGACCCCUACGGGAGGCAGCAGUGGGGAAUUUUGGAAAAUGGGGGCAACCCUGAUCCAGCAAUGCCGCGUGAGUGAAGAAGGCCUUCGGGUUGUAAAGCUCUUUUGUCAGGGAAGAAACGGUUCUGGAUAAUACCUGGGACUAAUGACGGUACCUGAAGAAUAAGCACCGGCUAACUACGUGCCAGCCGCCGCAGUAA
rnacentral:rRNA from 1 species